GAGCGAUCUCUUCGGAGAAGAGCGGCGGACGGGUGAGUAACGCGUGNGGUAACCNUGCCCUGGUACACACGGUAUAACAUACCGAAAGGUAUGCUAAUACGGAAUAACAUAAGAAAGUCGCAUGGCUUUUUUAUCAAAGCUCCGGCGGUACAGGAUGGACCCGCGUCUGAUUAGCUAGUUGGUAAGGUAACGGCUUACCAAGGCGACGAUCAGUAGCCGACCUGAGAGGGUGAUCGGCCACAUUGGAACUGAGACACGGUCCAAACUCCUACGGGAGGCAGCAGUGAGGAAUAUUGCACAAUGGGCGAAAGCCUGAUGCAGCAACGCCGCGUGAGCGAUGAAGGCCUUCGGGUCGUAAAGCUCUGUCCUCAAGGAAGAUAAUGACGGUACUUGAGGAGGAAGCCCCGGCUAACUACGUGCCAGCAGCCGCGGUAAU
rnacentral:rRNA from 1 species